rnacentral:rRNA from 1 species
UACGUGAGGUGCAAGCGUUAAUCGGAAUUACUGGGCGUAAAGCGUGCGUAGCGGUAUUUAAGUCGGGGUGUGAAAGCCCCGGGCUCCAACCUGGGAAUUGCAUUCGAGACUGAAUAGCUAGGGUGACGGUAGAGGGAAGUGGAAUUCCGGUGUAGCGGUGUAAAUGCGCAGAUAUCAGGAGGAACACCAGCGGCGAAGCGGCGCUCUGGGCCGGAACUGACGCUGAGGAAGCGAAAGCGUGGGUAGCAAACAGG